rnacentral:rRNA from 1 species
AGUGAACGCUGGCGGUAUGCCUAACACAUGCAAGUCGAACGGCAGCACAGUAAGAGCUUGCUCUUACGGGUGGCGAGUGGCGGACGGGUGAGGAAUACAUCGGAAUCUACUUUUUCGUGGGGGAUAACGUAGGGAAACUUACGCUAAUACCGCAUACGACCUACGGGUGAAAGCAGGGGAUCUUCGGACCUUGUGCGAUUGAAUGAGCCGAUGUCGGAUUAGCUAGUUGGCGGGGUAAAGGCCCACCAAGGCGACGAUCCGUAGCUGGUCUGAGGGAGUGAUCAGCCACAUUGGAACAGAGACAGGGUCCAGACUCCGACGGGAGGCAGCAGUGGGGAAUAUUGGGCGAUGGGGGAGAGGGUGAUCCAGCAAUACCGGGGGGGUGAAGAAGGAGUUCGGGUGGUAAAGCCCUUUUGUUGGGAGAGAAAAGCAGCAGGUUAAUACCCGGCUGUUAUGACGGUACCCGAAGAAUAAGCACCGGCUAACUUCGUG